rnacentral:rRNA from 1 species
UACAGAGGGUGCAAGCGUUGUUCGGAAUUAUUGGGCGUAAAGCGCGUGUAGGCGGCCUAGCAAGUUGGGUGUGAAAGCCCUCGGCUUAACCGAGGAAGUGCGCCCAAAAACUACAAGGCUUGAGUGCCGGAGAGGGUGGCGGAAUUCCCGGUGUAGAGGUGAAAUUCGUAGAUAUCGGGAGGAACACCAGUGGCGAAGGCGGCCACCUGGACGGUAACUGACGCUGAGACGCGAAAGCGUGGGGAGCAAACAGG